rnacentral:tRNA from 1 species
UCUCUGGUGGUCCAGUGGUUAAGACUCGGUGCUCCUAAGACAGGGGGCCUGGGUUUGAUCCCCAGUUGGGGAA